UACUUCAAGCCCGCAAAAGUAUGAUGUUUUGUAUUCGGCAUUCCGAGAUUAUUACAAGGUAUUAAUUCCGAGCAUUCUAAUAUAUAAUUGCCCUUGUUACUUUGUAAUUCUUUUAUCUUGAUGACCAUUAGCCUUUCAGAUAUGGUUGGAAUUGAUAGACACGACAGUAAAAGAGACAGAUGAAUAUCAAAUUUUUGACAAUCUUGAAGCACAGCAUAGAUAUCUGACAUGGAGAGCCGAAAAGGAUCCGAGACAAGGUGUUUUGAAGAAAUUGAUAGGUGACACACUUGCCAAGGAUUUAUUAAGAAGCUUUCUCUUUAAUGGAGUCAACGAACUAGGGAGCAAAAAGUUCCAUGAUUAUUUUCCACACUACAACGGCGAGGAAGGAAGUCUAAAUAAGAAAGGUGGUAUUAUUGGAAAGUCUUUGGAAAAUCGACCGUGGGAUGCAAGAGGAGAAUUCCUUGGUCGAUGAAUAUUGUAGCUUUGCUCUCAAACUGUUAUACAAGACAUGUAGCUGGUAAUAUUUCUUCAUAAGUGGAGAAAUAUAUCACUUUUGUAAAGAUUUUAUGAUUUAAAUAUUGGAGAAAUAUUUUUUUUUAUGAUCUAAUUUCAUUUCAAUAUUGCCACAAGGAUAUCAUACUCAUGUUAGUGCUAUAAUUAAAAUGCUAGGAAUGCAAGUAACAUGCAUUUAAUAGAAUUAGUAAAAUUAAAUUAUAUUUUAUUGUAUGUUUCAAUGACAUCAGUUAAUAAAAA